GACGAACGCUGGCGGCGUGCCUAAUACAUGCAAGUCGAACGCAUUUUCUUUCACCGUAGCUUGCUACACCGAAAGAAAAUGAGUGGCGAACGGGUGAGUAACACGUGGGUAACCUGCCCAUCAGCGGGGGAUAACACUUGGAAACAGGUGCUAAUACCGCAUAAUUCCAUUUACUGCAUGGUAGAUGGAUGCAAGGCGCUUUUGCGUCACUGAUGGAUGGACCCGCGGUGCAUUAGCUAGUUGGUGGGGUCACGGCCUACCAAGGCUGCGAUGCAUAGCCGACCGGGGAGGGUGAGCGGCAACACUGGGAAUGAGACACGGCCCAGACGCCUACGGGAGGCAGCAGUAGGGAAUCUUCGGAAAUGGACGCAAGUCUGACCGAGCAACGCCGCGUGAGUGAAGAAGGUUUUCGGAUAGUAAAACUCUGUUGUUAGAAAAGAACAAGGAUGAGAGUGGAAAGUUCAUCCCUUGACGGUAGCUAACCAGAAAGCCACGGCUAACUACGUG
rnacentral:rRNA from 1 species